rnacentral:rRNA from 1 species
UGGCGGGCGGGUGAGUAACGCGUGGGUAACCUGCCCUGUACAGGGGGAUAACAGUUAGAAAUGACUGCUAACACCGCAUAAGCGCACGGUAAGGCAUCUUAGUGUGUGAAAAUAUUAAUAGGUACAGGAUGGGCCCGCGUCUGAUUAGCCAGUUGGCAGGGUAACGGCCUACCAAAGCGACGAUCAGUAGCCGGCUUGAGAGAGUGAACGGCCACAUUGGGACUGAGACACGGCCCAAACUCCUACGGGAGGCAGCAG